UACGAAGGGGGCUAGCGUUGUUCGGAAUUACUGGGCGUAAAGCGCACGUAGGCGGACUAUUAAGUCAGGGGUGAAAUCCCGGGGCUCAACCCCGGAACUGCCUUUGAUACUGGUAGUCUCGAGUCCGGAAGAGGUGAGUGGAAGUUCCGAGUGUAGAGGUGAAAUUCGUAGAUAUUCGGAGGAACACCAGUGGCGAAGGCGGCUCACUGGUCCGGUACUGACGCUGAGGUGCGAAAGCGUGGGGAGCGAACAGG
rnacentral:rRNA from 1 species